GGCCUGGCCUGCUUACUGGGCUAUCCAAGGUUGCAUCCUUACCGGUGUUUGGGUCAUUGCACAUGAGUGUGGCCACCAUGCAUUCAGUGACUAUCAAUGGCUUGAUGAUACAGUUGGCCUUAUUCUCCACUCUGCCCUUCUUGUGCCUUACUUUUCAUGGAAAUACAGCCAUCGCCGCCACCAUUCCAACACCGGUUCUCUUGAGCGGGAUGAAGUCUUUGUGCCCAAACAGAAGUCCAGCAUCUAUUGGUACUCCAAAUACCUUAGCAACAACCCACUAGGCAGAGUCCUCACCAUUACCAUCACCCUCACUCUUGGCUGGCCCCUUUACCUGGCUCUCAAUGUUUCAGGCAGGCCUUAUGAUAGAUUUGCUUGCCACUUUAACCCACAUGGUCCCAUUUACUCAGAUCGUGAACGUCUUCAAAUAUAUGUAUCAGAUGCAGGAAUACUUGCAGUGUGCUUCGGGCUUUACCAUCUUGC
rnacentral:lncRNA from 1 species